rnacentral:snoRNA from 1 species
UGCAGCCCUGUCAAAUUCGGUCCCUGCCUCCCUCCAUGGUGGGGACCGGCCAACCGGCUGCCACAGCAACUUCCGUGGUCCACGGGACCCACGUCCCCUUACCGUGGGACACUGGGGGAUAAAAUCACACCACGGACAUGU